CGGCCACAUUGGGACUGAGACACGGCCCAGACUCCUACGGGAGGCAGCAGUGGGGAAUAUUGCACAAUGGGGGAAACCCUGAUGCAGCGACGCCGCGUGGAGGAAGAAGGUCUUCGGAUUGUAAACUCCUGUUGUUGAGGAAGAUAAUGACGGUACUCAACAAGGAAGUGACGGCUAACUACGUGCCAGCAGCCGCGGUAAAACGUAGGUCACAAGCGUUGUCCGGAAUUACUGGGUGUAAAGGGAGCGCAGGCGGGAGAACAAGUUGGAAGUGAAAUCCAUGGGCUCAACCCAUGAACUGCUUUCAAAACUGUUUUUCUUGAGUAGUGCAGAGGUAGGCGGAAUUCCCGGUGUAGCGGUGGAAUGCGUAGAUAUCGGGAGGAACACCAGUGGCGAAGGCGGCCUACUGGGCACCAACUGACGCUGAGGCUCGAAAGUGUGGGUAGCAAACAGGAUUAGAUACCCUGGUAGUCCACACCGUAAACGAUGAUUACUAGGUGUUGGAGGAUUGACCCCUUCAGUGCCGCAGUUAACACAAUAAGUAAUCCACCUGGGGAGUACGACCGCAAGGUUGAAACUCAAAGGAAUUGACGGGGGCCCGCACAAGCAGUGGAGUAUGUGGUUUAAUUCGACGCAACGCGAAGAACCUUACCAAGUCUUGACAUCCCUUGACGAUGCUGGAAACAGUAUUUCUCUUCGGAGCAAGGAGACAGGUGGUGCAUGGUUGUCGUCAGCUCGUGUCGUGAGAUGUUGGGUUAAGUCCCGCAACGAGCGCAACCCUUAUGGUCAGUUACUACGCAAGAGGACUCUGGCCAGACUGCCGUUGACAAAACGGAGGAAGGUGGGGAUGACGUCAAAUCAUCAUGCCCUUUAUGACUUGGGCUACACACGUACUACAAUGGCGUUAAACAAAGAGAAGCAAGACCGCGAGGUGGAGCAAAACUCAGAAACAACGUCCCAGUUCGGACUGCAGGCUGCAACUCGCCUGCACGAAGUCGGAAUUGCUAGUAAUCGUGGAUCAGCAUGCCACGGUGAAUACGUUCCCGGGCCUUGUACACACCGCCCGUCACACCAUGAGAGCCGGGGGGACCCGAAGUCGGUAGUCUAACCGCAAGGAGGACGCCGCCGAAGGUAAAACUGGUGAUUGGGGUGAAGUCGUAACAAGGUAGCCGUAGGAGAACCUGCGGCUG
rnacentral:rRNA from 1 species